AGAGCGAACGCUGGCGGCAGGCCUAAUACAUGCAAGUCGAACGGACCCUUCGGGGUUAGUGGCGGACGGGUGAGUAACACGUGGGAACGUGCCCUUUGGUUCGGAACAACUCAGGGAAACUUGAGCUAAUACCGAAUGUGCCCCCAUCCUUAAACAAGAUGGGUGGGAAAGAUUUAUCGCCAUUGGAGCGGCCCGCGUCUGAUUAGCUAGUUGGUGGGGUAAAGGCUCACCAAGGCGACGAUCAGUAGCUGGUCUGAGAGGAUGAUCAGCCACACUGGGACUGAGACACGGCCCAGACUCCUACGGGAGGCAGCAGUAGGGAAUCUUGCGCAAUGGGCAAAGCCUGACGCAGCCAUGCCGCGUGAAUGAUGAAGGUCUUAGGAUUGUAAAAUUCUUUCAGCGGGGACGAUAAUGACGGUACCCGCAGAAGAAGCCCCGGCUAACUUCGCGCCAGCAGCCGC
rnacentral:rRNA from 1 species